GGGCUCUCUCUACGUUCCAUGACGGUCUCUCUCUACGUUCCAUGACGGUCUCUCUCUCUACGUUCCAUGAUGGUCUCUCUCUCUACGUUCCAUGAAGGUCUCUCUUUACGUUCCGUGACGGUCUUUCUCUGCGUUCCAUGAAGGUCUCUCUCUACGUUCCGUGACGGUCUCUCUCUACGUCUCGUGACGGUCUCUCUCUACGUCCCGUGACGGUCUCUCUCUUUACGUUCCGUGA